rnacentral:rRNA from 1 species
GAUGAACGCUGGCGGCGUGCCUAAUACAUGCAAGUCGAGCGAACAGACGAGGAGCUUGCUCCUCUGACGUUAGCGGCGGACGGGUGAGUAACACGUGGAUAACCUACCUAUAAGACUGGGAUAACUUCGGGAAACCGGAGCUAAUACCGGAUAAUAUAUUGAACCGCAUGGUUCAAUAGUGAAAGACGGUUUUGCUGUCACUUAUAGAUGGAUCCGCGCCGCAUUAGCUAGUUGGUAAGGUAACGGCUUACCAAGGCAACGAUGCGUAGCCGACCUGAGAGGGUGAUCGGCCAUACUGGAACUGAGACACGGUCCAGACUCCUAUGGGAGGCAGCAGUAGGGAAUCUUCCGCAAUGGGCGAAAGCCUGACGGAGCAACGCCGCGUGAGUGAUGAAGGUCUUCGGAUCGUAAAACUCUGUUAUUAGGGAAGAACAAAUGUGUAAGUAACUAUGCACGUCUUGACGGUACCUAAUCAGAAAGCCACGGCUAACUACGUG